rnacentral:rRNA from 1 species
CCCCCGGGCGCAGGUCCGGCUGGGGAGCGGAACGGCAUGGGAGGGCCGGCCGCAGCGGGUGACAGCCCCGUACGCGAACCCAGACCGGACGGCGCGACGCGGUCCCUGAGUAGGGCCGGGCACGUGAAACCCGGUCCGAACCUGGGUGGACCACCAUCCAAGCCUGAGUACUACCCUGUGACCGAUAGCGCACCAGUACCGUGAGGGAAAGGUGAAAAGCACCCCGGGAGGGGAGUGAAACAGUACCUGAAACCGUGCGCCCACGAGCAGUCGGAGCACCUUUGUGGUGUGACGGCGUGCCUUUUGUAGAAUGAGCCAGCGAGUCGCUGGCGCGGGGCGAGGUUAACCGAAAGGGAGCCGGAGCGAAAGCGAGCCUUAACAGGGCGACUUGAGUCCCGCGCCGCGGACGCGAAGCCGGGUGAGCUAUCCGUGGGCAGGCUGAAGCGGGGGUAAGACCCCGUGGAGGGCCGAACGCACGUCGGUUGAAAACGGCGGCGAUGACCUGCGGAUAGGGGUGAAAGGCCAAUCAAACCCGGAGAUAUCUCGUUCUCCCCGAAAUAGCUUUAGGGCUAGCGUCGCGCGUUCACCGCCGGAGGUAGAGCACCGGAUGGACGAGGGGGCUUCGCCGCCUACCGAAUCCAACCGAACUCCGAAUGCCGGCGGCCCAGAGCGCGGCAGUCAGAGCAUGUGGGCUAAGCUGUGUGCUCGAGAGGGAAACAGCCCGGACCGCCCGCUAAGGUCCCCAAGUUCCAGCCGAGUGGCAAAGGAUGUGCGUCCGCCCAGACAACCAGGAUGUUGGCUUAGAAGCAGCCAUGCAUUCAAAGAGUGCGUAACAGCUCACUGGUCGAGUGGACAUGCGCCGACAAUACACGGGGCUAAGCUGGACACCGAAGCGGCGGGAUUUUAAUUCAUUAGAAUCGGUAGGGGAGCUUCCCAUGGGCGGAGAAGCCGGAGGGCGACCGACGGUGGAGCGCAUGGGAGUGAGAAUGCUGGCAUGAGUAGCGAGAGACGAGAGAGUAACUCGUCCGCCGUGAACCCGAGGUUUCCUGGGCAAGGCUAAUCCUCCCAGGGUCAGUCGGGGGCUAAGGCGAGGCCGGUAGGCGUAGCCGACGCGCAGCAGGCAGACAUUCCUGCACCGCGCACGCGGCGCUACGACCGACGGGGCGACGGAUGGGGGUGGCUCGGCGGGGUUCUGGACGUCCCCGUGAUGGAGCGCGGCCCGCGGACCAGGGAAAUCCGGUCCGCAGAAGGGCGAGGCUCCGGACGAAGCACUUAAGCGAAGCGAGUGAGCCCGAGGUCCCUAGAAAAACCCCUAGGCAGGCGCGUGCGCGCCCGUACCGCAAACCGACACAGGUGGGUGGGUAGAACAUACCGAGGCGAUCGGGUCAACCAUGGUCAAGGAACUCGGCACAAUGGCCCCGUAACUUCGGGAGAAGGGGUGCCCGCGCGUACGUGAACCGGCUUGCCCGGGGAGCGGAGGCGGGCCGCAGUGGAGAGGCCCAAGCGACUGUUUACCAAAAACACAGGACUCUGCAGAAGCCGCAAGGCGACGUAUAGGGUCUGACGCCUGCCCGGUGCCGGAAGGUCACGCGGAGGAGUUAGCGCAUCGCGCGAAGCCCCGAAGCCAAGCCCCGGUAAACGGCGGCCGUAACUAUAACGGUCCUAAGGUAGCGAAAUUCCUUGUCGGGUAAGUUCCGACCUGCACGAAAGGCGCAACGACUUGGGCGCUGUCUCGACCAUGGACCCGGUGAAAUUGCACUGGUCGUGAAGAUGCGACUUACCCGCGGAAGGACGGAAAGACCCCGUGAACCUUCACUGCAGCUUGGCAUUGGCCGCUGGUCCCGCGUGUAGAGGAUAGGCAGGAGGCAUCGAUCCGGAGGCGCCAGCCCCCGGGGAGCCGCCCUUGGAAUACUGCCCUCGCGCGACCGGCGUCCUAACCCGAGGCCGUCAACCGGCU